UACGGAGGAUGCGAGCGUUAUCCGGAUUUAUUGGGUUUAAAGGGUGCGUAGGCGGGAUGCCAAGUCAGCGGUAAAAAUGCGGUGCUCAACGCCGUCGAGCCGUUGAAACUGGCGUUCUUGAGUGGGCGAGAAGUAUGCGGAAUGCGUAGUGUAGCGGUGAAAUGCAUAGAUAUCACGCAGAACUCCGAUUGCGAAGGCAGCAUACCGGCGCCCUACUGACGCUGAGGCACGAAAGCGUGGGUAUCGAACAGG
rnacentral:rRNA from 1 species